CCUUGUACAGUCUUUUAAGUAUGGGUAUGCAAUUUUCGAGCAGAGGCCUAAAAAUAGGGCUAGGGGGCUGUCGUCACCAAAUUAACACUCAGAUUACAAUUCUAAUUCACACUUUUUUUCAAAACACUACACACUUCUCUAAUAUUUGGCACAAUCUUCAUAAAUAAAGCUAGUUUUUACAUGGAACACCAAAUUUUAAUGUAUUCCUCACAUUGGCAAACACAUGUUGCACAAUUGUUCAAUUAGCAAUCAGAGCUUUAGCAGUAAAAGAGCCACAGGUGAGCUCUUCUGUUUAAGAGCCAUGGAUGCCGACAUAGAAGAGAGCGGCAUAGCAAGACUGAGGGAAGAAGAUGGGGAGGCCACAUUCCCACUAGGUCGGCCAUAGACCACACAGAUGUUAGAUGGAUGUCAGUAUGUGUGUUCAGUGGUGAACCUGAACAUGAGCUUUGAGGUUUUCCUGUUUCUUGUUCAAACAGAGUUCAGAGAAUGACUGCGACGAGGCCGGCGGCAGUCUGGCUCAGAGACAGAGGAUCAUCUUCUUAGAAAAUAACCUGGAGCAGCUCAGCAAGGUCCACAAACAGCUUGUGCGGGACAAUGGCGACCUUCGCUGCGAGCUACCUAAGCUAGAGAAGCGUCUGCGGGCCACAGCAGAGCGAGUGAAAGCUCUGGAAGCUGCCCUGAGAGAUGCCAAGGAGUUGGCCGUAAGGGAUCGCAAACGCUAUCAACAGGAAGUGGACCGCAUAAAAGAGGGUGUUCGCUCCAAGAACGUCUCCAGGAGAGGAAACUCUGCUCAGAUAGCCAAGCCAAUCAGAGCCGGACAUCAGCAUCAGCAGCCGUCCUCCUCUCCAUCCAUCAGACUGACCAUCCGAGGAGGGGGGGUGAGGUCCAGUCCACGUCAUCACUCCCCCCAACAGCAACCACCUCAACAACCUGAAAAACAACAACCCCAUCAGAGCCACAUCAAGUAAGCUACAGGUGGCAGACAACAUGAGUUUCCUUUUCUGUGGGUCUUUGAAUUUCUGAACUCUC